GAUGAACGCUGGCGGCGUGCCUAAUACAUGCCAGUCGAGCGAACGGACGAGAAGCUUGCUUCUCUGAUGUUAGCGGCGGACGGGUGAGUAACACGUGGAUAACCUACCUAUAAGACUGGGAUAACUUCGGGAAACCGAAGCUAAUACCGGAUGAUAUUUUGAACCGCAUGGUUCAAAAGUGAAAGACGGUCUUGCUGUCACUUAUAGAUGGAUCCGCGCUGCAUUAGCUAGUUGGUAAGGUAACGGCUUACCAAGGCAACGAUGCAUAGCCGACCUGAGAGGGUGAUCGGCCACACUGGAACUGAGACACGGUCCAGACUCCUACGGGAGGCAGCAGUAGGGAAUCUUCCGCAAUGGGCGAAAGCCUGACGGAGCAACGCCGCGUGAGUGAUGAAGGUCUUCGGAUCGUAAAACUCUGUUAUUAGGGAAGAACAUAUGUGUAAGUAACUGUGCACAUCUUGACGGUACCUAAUCAGAAAGCCACGGCUAACUACGUG
rnacentral:rRNA from 1 species